UGGGGAAUAUUGGGCAAUGGGGCGAAAGCCUGACCCAGCAACGCCGCGUGAAGGAAGAAGGUCUUCGGAUUGUAAACUUCUUUUAUGAGGGACGAAGGACGUGACGGUACCUCAUGAAUAAGCCACGGCUAACUACGUGCCAGCAGCCGCGGUAAUACGUAGGUGGCAAGCGUUAUCCGGAUUUACUGGGUGUAAAGGGAGCGCAGGCGGGAUAGCAAGUCAGCUGUGAAAACUAUGGGCUCAACCCAUAAACUGCAGUUGAAACUGUUAUUCUUGAGUGGAGUAGAGGCAAGCGGAAUUCCGAGUGUAGCGGUGAAAUGCGUAGAUAUUCGGAGGAA
rnacentral:rRNA from 1 species